UGGAGAUGAAGGCCUUGAUGUUGCCGUGAUUCUUCACAAAGUCCACGAUGGACUUGACCUCCACUUCGGAAUUGGCAAACUUGCCAUGGCCAAGCACUGCGCUCUCCCCUGAGAUGAUGCCCAAGGCACAUCGUCCCUGAUCUCAGCGAACUCACAGUGUAGUGGAGGCAACAGAGGUCUUACAAGAAGCCAUCACCGAGACAGAAUUACAUGAACAAAGGACCCACUGGGGAUGCCUUCCUCCCUGUGGGAGACCUGAAUGGGGCAUUUUCUCUGCUGUGCGUGAGAAGUCCCUGGAGGGCUGCGGACUCCAGGCUAUGGGCCCAUACUCAGCAUCCAGGGAAGACUUUACCAAGAAGGUGACAUUUGACCUGAGUCUUAAUGACAGGAUUUUACCAGACACAGAAAGGAAUGGGUGUUUCAUGACUCUAGGCAGUGCUUGAACACACUCUCAUUUACUCCUCCUUAAUGAGUGUUUCCCCAGUGAGACUGUAAGUUUCCUCAGACCAGGAACUGUGUUUUAGCCAUCCCUCAUAUUCUCCCUCAACUCUUAGUGACCUACAGUGUUCUCGCGUUUUCCAGUAUGUCCCCCAGCAAGAAGAAAUGUUCUGUAGACCCUUGAAAACAGUAUUUCUUGAAAACAGUAUUUUAGAAAUACUAUGAAAACAGUA